GUCGGGUAUGCAUACCCGUUUGCAUGUACUUUAUGAAUAAGGAUCGGCUAACUCCGUGCCAGCAGCCGCGGUAAUACGGAGGAUCCGAGCGUUAUCCGGAUUUAUUGGGUUUAAAGGGAGCGUAGAUGGAUGUUUAAGUCAGUUGUGAAAGUUUGCGGCUCAACCGUAAAAUUGCAGUUGAUACUGGAUGUCUUGAGUGCAGUUGAGGCAGGCGGAAUUCGUGGUGUAGCGGUGAAAUGCUUAGAUAUCACGAAGAACUCCGAUUGCGAAGGCAGCCUGCUAAGCUGCAACUGACAUUGAGGCUCGAAAGUGUGGGUAUCAAACAGGAUUAGAUACCCUGGUAGUCCACACGGUAAACGAUGAAUACUCGCUGUUUGCGAUAUACGGCAAGCGGCCAAGCGAAAGCGUUAAGUAUUCCACCUGGGGAGUACG
rnacentral:rRNA from 1 species